AACAUUCUGUAUCCGUGCUCAGAUUUCGUCACACACCAGACCACAAGGGCUGAUGAAACUUGCAAGAUACGUGAAGCG
rnacentral:pre_miRNA from 1 species